GAUGAACGCUGGCGGCGUGCCUAAUACAUGCAAGUCGAGCGAACGGACGAGAAGCUUGCUUCUCUGAUGUUAGCGGCGGACGGGUGAGUAACACGUGGAUAACCUACCUAUAAGACUGGGAUAACUUCGGGAAACCGUAGCUAAUACCGGAUAAUAUUUUGAACCGCAUGGUUCAAAAGUGAAAGACGGUCUUGCUGUCACUUAUAGAUGGAUCCGCGCUGCAUUAGCUAGUCGGUAAGGUAACGGCUUACCAAGGCAACGAUGCAUAGCCGACCUGAGAGGGUGAUCGGCCACACUGGAACUGAGACACGGUCCAGACUCCUACGGGAGGCAGCAGUAGGGAAUCUUCCGCAAUGGGCGAAAGCCUGACGGAGCAACGCCGCGUGAGUGAUGAAGGUCUUCGGAUCGUAAAACUCUGUUAUUAGGGAAGAACAUAUGUGUAGGUAACUGUGCACAUCUUGACGGUACCUAAUCAGAAAGCCACGGCUAACUACGUG
rnacentral:rRNA from 1 species